GCUGGCGGCGUGCCUAACACAUGCAAGUCGAACGCGACUGUGGCUUCGGCCACAGUUGAGUGGCGAACGGGUGAGUAACACGUGGGUGACCUACCUUCGAGUGGGGGAUAACGUCCCGAAAGGGACGCUAAUACCGCAUAACAUCCUGUCCUUGAAUGGACGGAGAUCAAAGCCGGGGAUCGCAAGACCUGGCGCUCAAAGAGGGGCCCGCGUCCGAUUAGCUAGUUGGUGAGGUAAUGGCUCACCAAGGCAACGAUCAGUAGCCGGCCUGAGAGGGCGGACGGCCACACUGGGACUGAGACACGGCCCAGACUCCUACGGGAGGCAGCAGUGGGGAAUUGUUCGCAAUGGGCGCAAGCCUGACGACGCAACGCCGCGUGGAGGAUGAAGGUCUUCGGAUUGUAACCUCCUGUUGCCCGGGACGAAAAGCUUCGACCUAACACGUCGAAGUCUGACGGUACCGGGUGAGGAAGCCCCGGCUAACUCUGUGCCAGCAGCCGCGGUAAUACAGAGGGGGCAAGCGUUGUUCGGAAUUACUGGGCGUAAAGGGC
rnacentral:rRNA from 1 species